rnacentral:rRNA from 1 species
ACCAGGGCUUGACAUACGACCGGAAGCGCCGUGAAAGCGGCGUGCCGCUUGCGGCCGGUGAACAGGUGCUGCAUGGCUGUCGUCAGCUCGUGCUGUGAAGUGUUGGGUUAAGUCCCGCAACGAGCGCAACCCCUGCCGUCUGUUGCCACCACGAAAGGUGGGGACUCAGGCGGGACCGCCGGUGACAAACCGGAGGAAGUGGGGACGACGUCAAGUCAUCAUGGCCCUUAUGUCCUGGGCCACACACGUGCUACAAUGGCCGGUACAGAGCGCAGCGAGGCCGCGAGGCGGAGCGAAUCGCUUAAAGCCGGUCCCAGUACGGAUUGGAGUCUGCAACCCGACUCCAUGAAGUUGGAAUCGCUAGUAAUCGCGCAUCAGCAUGGCGCGGUGAAUACGUUCCCGGGCCUU